rnacentral:rRNA from 1 species
AGCAGCCGCGGUAAUUCCAGCUCCAAUAGCGUAUAUUAAAGUUGUUGCAGUUAAAAAGCUCGUAGUUGAAUUUCGGGAUUGACACAUCGGUCGUGCCUUAAGGGGUAUGAACUGGUGUAGUCAAUUUCUCACCUUCUGGAGAACCGCGAUGCCCUUAAUUGGGUGUCGCGGGGAACCAGGACCUUUACUUUGAAAAAAUUAGAGUGUUUAAAGCAGGCAUUUUGCUUGAAUACAUUAGCAUGGAAUAAUAAAAUAGGACGGCAUGAUUCUAUUUUGUUGGUUUCUAGGAUCACCGUAAUGAUUAAUAGGGAUAGUUGGGGCAUUAGUAUUCAAUUGUCAGAGGUGAAAUUCUUGGAUUUAUUGAAGACUAACUACUGCGAAAGCAUUUGCCAAGGAUGUUUUCAUUAAUCAAGAACGAAAGUUAGGGGAUCGAAGACGAUCAGAUACCGUCGUAGUCUUAAACCAUAAACUAUGCC